AUCACCUAACGAUCUUGUUAAAAUACAGAUUCUGAUUCAGUAGGUUCUGAGGGUGCUAGGAUUCUGUAUUUGUAACAAGCUCCUAGGUGCUGCCAA
rnacentral:pre_miRNA from 1 species